GAUGAACGCUGGCGGCGUGCCUAAUACAUGCAAGUCGAGCGAACGGACGGGAAGCUUGCUUCUCUGAUGUUAGCGGCAGGCGGGUGAGUAACACGUGGAUAACCUACCUAUAAGACUGGGAUAACUUCGGGAAACCGGUGCUAAUACCUGCUAAUAUUUUGAACCACAUGGUUCAAAACUGAAAGACGGCCUUGCUGUCACUUAUAGAUUGAUCCGCGCUGCAUUAGCUAGUUGGUAAGGUAACGGCCUACCAAGGCAACGAUGCAUAGCCGACCUGAGAGGACGACCGGCCACACUGGAACUGAGACACGGUCCAGACUCCUACGGGAGGCAGCAGUAGGGAAUCUUGCACAAUGGGCGAAAGCCUGACGGAGCAACGCCGCGUGAGUGAAGAAGGUCUUCGGAUCGUAAAGCUCUGUUAUUAGGAAAGAACAUAUGUGUAAGUAACUGUGCACAGCUUGACGGUACCGAAUCAGAAAGCCACGGCUAACUACGUG
rnacentral:rRNA from 1 species